GUGACCCGAGAAGGGGAGCAACACCGUUGUCUCAAACUAGCCACCCAAGGAAGACAACACAUCAAAUGAAGCACACAGGGCAGCCAUCCAUGGACAAGCCAUCAAACAAAAGAAUCUCCAGGACAGUAACCUCAGGACAGCAAAACGUACCCAAGAGCGAACCCAACCAAGGCCAAAGGGAAGCUAGACAAAGCUUGAAAGAAAACAACA
rnacentral:misc_RNA from 1 species